AAAGGGAAGAAAAAGGAAAAGAAGGAAGGAAAAAAAAAAAGGGAAGAAGAGGAAAAGAGAUUUUUUUGAGAGGAAUACUACUUGGAGCUCAAGUUAUUGAUUCUUGAAUUUCUAUCUACAUUAAGGUGGUGACGAGGAGAUUGGAAGAGUCUAUCGACCAUCUUAGGUUCAACUUGUAUUAUAUAGUAGCUGAGUUGAAUACUACUGGGCCAGUUGAUCUAUCAAGUUGAGCCAUAGACUGUCAAGACUUGUAUGAACUAUCUUUUCAGUUUAAGAGUUCAUAUUUUGGAAUAGACACCUCUUUUGGUCAUAAAUUAGUUCAAUGUGUUGGGCUUGCUAUGUUUUGUAUAUAUAUUAUGCAUUUUGGGUACUGUAGUUUAGAAAUUGUUGCAAAAGUCGAAUUGCCAGUGUUGUAUUUGAAUAGUUGAUAUUUUGAGGGGCCGAUGUACCCUAUUUCAAAUGAUAUGUACAUGUUUGGGAUAUUUGAUUUUA